CAGUAGCCGCGGUAAGACAGAGGAUGCAAGCGUUAUCCGGAAUGAUUGGGCGUAAAGCGUCUGUAGGUGGCUUUUCAAGUCCGCCGUCAAAUCCCAGGGCUCAACCCUGGACAGGCGGUGGAAACUACCAAGCUAGAGUACGGUAGGGGCAGAGGGAAUUUCCGGUGGAGCGGUGAAAUGCGUUGAGAUCGAAAAGAACACCAACGACGAAAGCACUCUGCUGGGUCGACACUGACACUGAGAGACGAAAGCUAGGGGAGCAAAUGGGAUUAGAUACCCCAGUAGUCCCUGUCUCUUAUAU
rnacentral:rRNA from 1 species